UGGGGAAUUUUGGACAAUGGGGGAAACCCUGAUCCAGCCAUCCCGCGUGUGCGAUGAAGGCCUUCGGGUUGUAAAGCACUUUUGGCAGGAAAGAAACGUCAUGGGUUAAUACCCCGUGAAACUGACGGUACCUGCAGAAUAAGCUCCGGCUAACUACGUGCCAGCAGCCGCGGUAAUACGUAGGGUGCAAGCGUUAAUCGGAAUUACUGGGCGUAAAGCGUGCGCAGGCGGUUCGGAAAGAAAGAUGUGAAAUCCCAGAGCUCAACUUUGGAACUGCAUUUUUAACUACCUGGCUAGGGUGUGUCAGAGGGAGGUGGAAUUCCGCGUGUAGCAGUGAAAUGCGUAGAGAUGCGGAGGAACACCGAUGGCGAAGGCAGCCUCCUGGGAUAACACUGAAGCUAAUGCACGAAAGCGUGGGGAGCAAACAGG
rnacentral:rRNA from 1 species